UCUGAUUGAUCACCUGAAGCAAGCCAUGAGCCAGCCAGAGGAGCACAGGUGAAGGCAAUUCAGCUGUGCUGCUGGAAGGCCUAUUUAAGAGUGGGGAAGGAUCUCUUUUGGAGAUCUGCUCUGCUGCAGUUUUGUAAAUGAGCCCAGGAUAGGGGCUGGUGCUCCACUGCCUCUCACCUUGAUACGUCUUCAGCCAAGUACAGAAGUAUAGAAAAGAGAGAGCAGCAAAUCUGAGCAUGCUGUGGCUGUACUGAAGGAUUCUGCACUGCUGAGGGACAGCUGAGGUCCGUGAAGCUGCCUCUGGGUUGGCCUUCAGCUUGCUUGUGCAUCCAGACACGGUGAACUGGAGCUUUGGCAUAGUGAAUUAAGAAGAAAGGAGGUUUUGAGAGAGGACAACACACUUGUUUUUUCUGCUGCCUGCAGAACCAGCACUUGAUCUCAUGAGUUAGACGACUUUUGAAAGGUGCCUGGAAGUCCCUUGCAGAAGUUGCUGCUCCCAGGAAUGUGCUGACAUAAUGGCUCCUACAGAAGCGUGAAGCUGAAUCAGGUCCUCACCCUGCUCUGUGCAGAAUUAUGUCCCAGUGAGGAGGGAUCAGAAAGAGGCUUCCUGAAAUACUGCCCUUGCACUAGAGAGGCUGGGAAGGAGGAGAACCCAGAAAUAAAACAUAAAAAAUGUGUUCUGGCCACUGAAGCCAGUGUUGGCACAUCUUUUCAUGGAUCACUCUGGACUGGGGAAGUCAUCUAAUCAAGAACAGGCUAGCAUGGACAAAAGCUGCCUCAGCUUCCAGGCUGCUCCACCCAGGCUGGAGGCAUCUUCCUGUGUUCUGUGAACAGUGCAGCAAAGCAGAGAAUUUCAGGGACCGGAGAUCAAUCUGCUGUGCGGACACUGCUGUCAAAACAGCUCUUUAAUCACUUUGCCAGCAGUCAGGCUGGUUUCUCAUCGUUGUGUAUGAAGAUCUGAUGUUCACAGUCUGCUGCAGUCCCCAAGGAGGGCGAUUGCAUCCAGCUGAGGGUUCCAGAACCACAGGGCAUAAAAGGAGCAGAUAUCCACAGCCCUUGGGCACUGAACAGUGCCACUCUCUCCCAAGUGGGAGAGUAGCCAGCUGUGACAUCCCCUGAGUGCAGCAGACACAUCAGCCAGAGGCCUGUGAACACUUAGAACAUUAGGAGGGGUUGGAAACCAACAAGGCCUGGACUCCCAUGACUAUGUCCAACCACAGCUUGAGGGUAUCAUUGUGCUAAAAGACUGGUUGUAUGUAACACCAGGUAUAGCAGCUGCUUGGAAAUGAUAGAUAUUUAAAUGCUGCUUUCUCCCAUCAGCCCUAUCGAGUCAGCAGGGCAGAGAGAGCUUGUCCUUCACAGCAGCCUUCCCUGCCAGCCCUGGUACCCCACAGCAUGCAUGGGUGAUCUCUGAAAGCCUCUGGUGGGCUAAACACUACCUGAUUCAGAGGGACAGAAGGAAGCCAGGGCUGGUGCUCAGUUCCCAGUCUGUGCAUGAGGUAGAAGUAAAACCAGCUGACUUCCUAUCAUGCUUGAGUGCAUCCACACUGGAGGUACCAAGUAAACGCAGGGACUGGUCCUUGGAUUUUGCUUUUUGGGUGUAUCUGCCUUUUAGAAUGGGGACAGAUGAAGAUCUGGAUCCUGUGACACAUCAAGCACGUGUCAGACUUACAUCUGACUGGGCUGCUUUUCUUGGGGAUGGCAGGGAAGAAGUCCUCACCCCAAGGGCAGGAGAAGACCUGCACACACAGCAGUGCAGCACAAGGAAAGAGAGAUAGAUUAUUUUUCUCUCAAGAAAGAUAUGUGAUGAAGGCCAGAGAAGAGCCCAAUGGGAGCAUCUGCCAUUGGAGAUGCAAAUGUAAGAGCCAGUCUAUGUGAAGUUUGGCAACACUAAAGUAGGGAUCUGCCUCUUUCAGUGUUCCUGUGGACACAAGUGCAAGCAGAUAUUUGGAGGUUGUGUAUGAGCACUGAUUGGAUCCUGCAUUUUCACUUUGGUGCUGAAGCUGUUGCUAUGAGUUCUUAGGCUGCCUGAGCACAGCCUCAGAAGUGCUAUUGGUCUGAAAGCUUCUACGACUGGAGUAUUUUAUCUUCCUCAUUUUCACCGACACAACAGAGAUCCAGAAGUACAGUGAGACUUCAGAGGGCACUGUGUUGUCUGUAGUACUUUGAAGAAACAAUACGCUUUUUGAAACUGGUCUAGAGUCUGGGCUGCUUUUGGUACCAGCACGGAAGCAAGAAACUCUUCAACUCAGCACCAGUGACCAGUUUAAAACAGUCAUGCAGCCACUUCAAGCAUUUUGAUUUCCUGCAGAAUUGAAGAGUCAGAGAACAGGGAGACAGCUGUGCUGUCAUGGAGCAUAGGUGGAGAGCCCAUAUCUGAACUCCUCAGCCACAGAGGCAGACUCCUCUCAUUGGAAGGGGCUUGGUGCUGGAAAUUAACUACCACUAGAAGAUCCAUUUGGACCUCCUUAGCAAAGAACAGCACCAAAGUGCUGCUACAUCUAUGAACACUUGAAGUAGGUAGAUAGAUUCAGAACUGCAUUGAAAAAAGAACCAACAGAUGGUUGGACUGGAUGAUCCUGUAAGUCUUUUCUAACCUUGGUGAUUUUAUGGUUUUUAUGAGAAGAAAACAAGCAAUGUGAU